GGUCAUGAGUGACAGCGAUUUAGGCCCCGGCUCGCUGUCCGGCAACCCUCCGUCCGUGGCGGGGUGCCCCGGGUGAAGACCAGGUCGUAGGCAGCAAGGCCUACGGCAAGCGCGGACC
rnacentral:ncRNA from 2 species